UGAAUGAGGAAGUGACAGGGGAGUGUGUGGAUGUGUGUGGUGUGUGUGUGAGUGAGUGAAGGACAGUUAAAUCCAGCAGGAGCAACAGAGGCUGGCAGAGCAGGCUCUCUGGGACAGGGAGAGACUACCACUGCUGUAGACACUCCCUGAAUUGCGGGACUCGGCACGGAUCCCACAUUAUCAUGAAGGGGAGAGCGGCUUCUUCUAGGAACUCAUCAGUACCACCACCCAGACAGGCCUUGGACACUGCCCAGCAGCCACUCCAGCCAAAAUCCUGAUGCCCCACCCACAGACCCGCGAACCCUGGGACUUCCAACUCCAAAGGUGCACCGCUCCCACAGGAGUAAGUGCAACACCUCCCUCCCCAGCAGCAGAACUGUAGACAUCACAUUCAUGCAUUUCCAACAUUCGCAUGUUUCCAACAUUCAUGCAUUUCCAGCGCGCAGACUUCCAGGGCACACCACUCCAUAGACAGCUCUUGGAAUGCCGCUGUGAACUCCUGCUGGGUAGGAUUUUGAACAGACAAGGGUAUGCUGCCUCACAGUAGAAAUUCUGAAUUCCCUCUUCCUGAAUAACUGCC